rnacentral:rRNA from 1 species
UAGAUGCGAGAGUAGAGCAUAUCAAUAAGCGGAGGAAAAGAAACUAACAAGGAUUCCCCUAGUAACGGCGAGUGAAGCGGGAAGAGCUCAAAUUUGAAAUCUUAAAGGGUUUCCCUUUACGAAUUGUAGUUUAAAGAAGUGUUUUCUGUUGGAGUUUCGGUAAAAGUUCUUUGGAAUAGGACAUCAUAGAGGGUGAGAAUCCCGUAUUUGACCGUUACUUUCCAGCUGUGUGAUACACUUUCAAAGAGUCGGAUUGUUUGGGAAUGCAGUCCAAAAUGGGUGGUAAAUUUCAUCUAAAGCUAAAUAUUGGCGAGAGACCGAUAGCGAACAAGUACCGUGAGGGAAAGAUGAAAAGAACUUUGAAAAGAGAGUUAAACAGUACGUGAAAUUGUCAAAAGGGAAGCGUUUGACACCAGUGUUGUUUAGUUGAAAAUCAAUUCAAUAAUUUUUGAUUUUAAGUAGUAUUGACUCCAUCAGCUUGCUGCUUUCUUUUCAGGAAUUAUUGAAUGCACUUUCCAGUUAACAAGUCAACAUCAAUUUCUUUUGUUGUAAAAGGGUAAGAGGAAGGUGGCUUACGCUUCGGCGUAAGUGUUUAUAGCCUUUUACCUCUGCAAUCGGAGAGAUUGAGGACAGCAGCGUAGACUCUUCGGGGUUAGAUACACUUGUGCUAAGCUAUAGCCUUGUAUAGACAACUUGUUGACUAUGCUCAGUCAUGUAGCUUACUCGCUUGUGCUAUUUUACCUACGCUUAGGAUGUUGACACACGCGCGUGCUCG